CUGGCUGGGAGCAGGGAGGAGCAAGACGCGCGGCUGGAGAUGGUGAAUUGGUGGCCGGCGUUGGAGGAGGAGGGUGCAGGGAGCUUGGAGUUGCGGCUGGGCGCCGGCCAUGGAGGAGGCAAGCUCCAGCCGGACUUGGGGAAGGAGCCAGAGAGAGCUCGCGACGAGCAGCAGCAAGGGGAAUGGAGGUCUGAGUGGGGGAGAUUGUUGGCGAGCUCGCGGCAGGGAGGUGAGCUCGGCCAUGGGAAUGGCUGCUUGCUGCCUUGCUGCGAGAGGAAGAAGCAAGGGGCACCGCAGCAUUGCUGGCCGCGGGGAGGAAAGGGAGAUUGCAGGGGCGCCAUGGACAGGGACGCCAUUGGGCUGCUGGAGAAAUUAGGGCGCCAUCCAUGGGAAGAAGGAGGAGCUCGCGCCCAUGGAGUGGGAGAGCUGGGCGACCCUGAAGUUUCUGCGCGCUGGAGAAGACAGCAAAGGGGGAGGAGCUCGCUGCUGGGCUGCUCGCCGGCCAUGGAGAAGAGCAGAGAAGGUCGUGGCCAAUGGGGGAUCAGGGGCGUCGGCGUGCUCCCAGGGAGCUCCUGCUCGUGCGGUAAAAACCAGAGAGAGGAGGAGCUACCACCAUGCCUGAAGGGGAGAGGCGCCUGCUGCUUGAGGAAGAAGAAGGGGAGGAGCCGAGCUCCCAGCUGCAGCCGUGGGAGAGGAGAGGAAGACGCCAUGGGCAGGGAGCGUGGAGCUGCCGGGGGGAAGAAGAGACAAGGAAGAAGGAAGUGGCGGCUAGGAAAAAUGCAGGGGUGGGAGUGA
rnacentral:misc_RNA from 1 species